GACGGAGGAUGCAAGUGUUAUCCGGAAUCACUGGGCGUAAAGCGUCUGUAGGUCGUUUAAAAAGUCUACUGUUAAAAAUUGAGGCUUAACUUCAAAGAUGCCGUAGAAACUUUUAAACUUGAGGAUGGUAGGGGUAGAGGGAAUUUCCAGUGGAGCGGUGAAUUCGCAGAUAUCAGGAGGAACACCGGUGGCGAAGGCGGAUCUCUGGGCCUUACCUGACGCUGAGGCGCGAAAGCUAGGGGAGCAAACAGG
rnacentral:rRNA from 1 species